UACGAAGGGGGCUAGCGUUGUUCGGAUUUACUGGGCGUAAAGCGCACGUAGGCGGAUAUUUAAGUCAGGGGUGAAAUCCCGGGGCUCAACCCCGGAACUGCCUUUGAUACUGGGUAUCUUUGAGUCCGGAAGAGGUGAGUGGAAUUCCGAGUGUAGAGGUGGAAUGCGCAGAUAUCAGGAGGAACACCAAUAGCGAAGGCAGCUCGCUGGGACGGUACUGACGCUAAGGCGCGAAAGCGUGGGGAGCGAACAGG
rnacentral:rRNA from 1 species